rnacentral:ncRNA from 1 species
AAAGCUUGGUUCUAGCUUAAAACUUAGCUUUUUUCUGUCUGCCACAUGUAAAUCUUAAGGUACCCCAGCGAGUUAUAUUUUUCUUUACGUCAACAAGAAAAAUACUAAACGAUAAGUCCAAAGACACAACGAAACAUAAAGCUCGCGAUCCGCAGUGCUUAACUUUAUUUAAUCUGGGAAACCAGGAAAUAGACAAGAAAAACCAAGGGCGGUUAAUAACGUGCCAGCAACCGCGGUUACACGUUAGACCCUUAGUUAAGUAGAACCGGUUAAAGGAAACAAGGUUAUGCAAACCCUACUUUAGAACAAAUCCUAGCAGUAACAAGCUGAAGAAGAAAAAACAAAGUAGAGAAACUUAAUUAAAAGAAUAAGACAUAAACUGGAAUUAGAUACUCCACUAUACUUUUAAGUAAAACCCAAAACACCAGAGCAGUACGGCUUACAAGGCUAAAACUUAAAGAACUUGGCGGUUUUCUAGCCCUUUUCGGAGGAGCUUGUCAUUGAAUUGAUAACCCACAAGAAACCUUACCGUCCCUGGAUAAAACCCCAGCCUGUAUACCAUCGUCGCCAGUCCACCUCAUCAGAAAGUGGACGACAAGGAACUCCCCCAAACGUCAGAUCAAGGUGCAGCCAAUGGGUACGGGAAUAGAUGAGCUACUUUGCUUAACAACAGAGGAUCUUCCACUUAAAAAGGAAAUGAAAAAGGAUUCGACAGUAAUUACCUACAGAAAAAUCUAAUGAAACCAGCUCUAGAAUGCGCACACAUCGCCCGUCACUCUCGUCAAACGAGGAGAAAAGUCGUAACAUAGUAGGUGUACCGGAAGGUGUACCUGGAAG